rnacentral:lncRNA from 1 species
GUGUGCUCAGCUGGGUUUUCCUGGUGGCUGUUUUCAAAGGUAAUGAAUGGAGAACCAGAGAUCCUGAGUGUGUGAGUGGACAGCAGUGAGAGGAAGAGUGGGUGAGUGCCAGUGUCCUGACCAGGCUGCCUCUGUGUUUGCAGGUGUCCAGUGUGAGGUGCAGCUGGUGGAGUCUGGGGGAGGCCUGGUGCAGCCUGGGGGUUCCCUGCGACUCUCCUGUGCAGCCUCUGGAUUCACAUUCAGUAAUUACUACAUGGACUGGGUCCGCCAGGCUCCAGGGAAGGGGCUGGAGUGGAUCUCACUCAUUAGUGAUGAUAGUAGUUACAUAAACUAUGCCAACUCUGUGAAGGGCCGAUUCACCAUCUCCAGAGACAACUCCAAGAACACCCUGUACCUGCAAAUGAGCAGUCUGAGAGCUGAGGACACAGCCACCUAUUACUGUGCUAGAGACACAGUGAGGGGACCUCAGUGUGAGCCCAGACAC